rnacentral:lncRNA from 10 species
GGCAGCUAGAAAACUGGGAGGAGAGCUUCCUGGCAGCAUUAGCAAACUAGCAGCCCCUGAAGGGCGACGAGAAAGAUAUGUAGAUGUGAUGUCUGGAACUCAUGCAGCUAUCUUGCAACGACCAGGAUGAGGCUAAGAGAAUAGGAGAGAUCCUUGCUCAAACAGGCUGAACUCGAGUAUUUUGGGCCCUAAGAAGGAAGGACAAAGAUCCCUGGAGAACUCUCCUGUGGUGUCCUUGUUUUGAGUAGCAAUGGAGGUGUAAACUGUGAUCCUCUUCCUUGAGUGAGAUGGAAAAAAAUUAAUUUGCCGCAUCAGUGUCCAUAUCUCAGGCUCAACUCAAGAUUCCUUCCUGAA